UACGAAGGGGGCUAGCGUUGCUCGGAAUUACUGGGCGUAAAGGGCGCGUAGGCGGGUCGUUAAGUUAGAGGUGAAAGCCCAGGGCUCAACCCUGGAAUUGCCUUUGAUACUGGCGGCCUUGAGUAUGGCAGAGGUGUGUGGAACUCCGAGUGUAGAGGUGAAAUUCGUAGAUAUUCGGAAGAACACCAGUGGCGAAGGCGACACACUGGGCCAUUACUGACGCUGAGACGCGAAAGCGUGGGGAGCAAACAGG
rnacentral:rRNA from 1 species